UGAAGUAAGUAAGGGCGUACGGUGAAUGCCUUGGUGCCAACAGGCGAAGAAGGACGCGGCAAGCUGCGAAAAACCUCGGGAAGCUGCAAGCAAGCGAUGAUCCGGGGGUGUCCGAAUGGGGUAACCUGACUGGGGUAAUACCUGGUCGUUCAUACCUGAAUACAUAGGGUAUGAAACGCAAUACCCGCUGAAGUGAAACAUCUCAGUAAGCGGAGGAAAAGAAAGAGAAAUCGAUUCCGUAAGUAGUGGCGAGCGAAAGCGGAUGGAGCCCAAACCGAAGGUACUCCUUCGGGGUUGUAGGACCACGACAUAUUCGACCAUAGUGGAUAGUAGAACAGUCUGGAAAGGCUGGCCAUAGAAGGUGAAAGCCCUGUAGACGAAAUCCAGAGUGGGAAUUAGUGGUAUCCUGAGUAAUACAUCACACGUGGAACGAUGUAUGAAUCAGCGCGGACCACCGCGCAAGGCUAAAUACUAGUUGGCGACCGAUAGUGAACAAGUACCGCGAGGGAAAGGUGAAAAGAACCGCUGUGAGCGGAGUGAAAUAGAACCUGAAACCGUAUGUCUACAAAGUGUCAGAGCAGAGCAAUCUGCGAUGGCGUGCCUUUUGUUUAAUGAGUCUGCGAGUCAGUGUUUGUGGCAAGACUAAGGGCUUCCGGCCCGGAGUCGCAGCGAAAGCAAGUCCGAAUAGGGCGCAUUAAGUCGCAGGUACUGGACCCGAAGCGGAGGUGACCUACCCUUGGCCAGGUUGAAGCAUGGGUAAAACCAUGUGGAGGACCGAACAGGUGAACGUUGAAAAGUUCUCUGAUGAGCUGAGGGUAGGAGUGAAAGGCUAAUCAAACCCCGUGAUAGCUGGUUCUCUUCGAAAUGCAUUUAGGUGCAGCGUCACGUGCUGAUGCGCGGGGGUAGAGCACUGACAAGGCUAGGGGGCACACCCGCUUACCAAACCUUAUCAAACUCCGAAUACCGUGCAAUGGAACGUGGCAGUGAGACAGUGGGGGAUAAGCUUCAUUGUCGAGAGGGAAACAACCCAGACCAGCAGCUAAGGUGCCUAAAUAACGCUGAGUGGAAAGGAUGUGGGAUUACACAGACAGUGAGGAUGUUGGCUUAGAAGCAGCCACCAUUUAAAAAAUGCGUAAUAGCUUACUCAUCGAGUGAUCCUGCGCCGAAAAUGAUUGGCGAUCAAGCGUUAUACCGAAGCUCUGGACUUUGCCGCAAGGCAGAGUGGUAGAAGAGCGUUGCAUGCGCAUUGAAGGGUGAUGGCGACUGACCCUGGAGCGCAUGCAAGUGAGUAUGCAGACAUGAGUAACGUAAAGCCGGGUGAAAUCCCCGGCCGCCGUAAACCCGAGGUUUCCAGGGCAACGUGUUUCGUCCCUGGGUUAGCCGGGACCUAAGCCGAGGCCGAGAGGCGUAGGCGAUGGAUAUCAGGUUAAUAAUCCUGAGCUCGCGACCCUUAAACUGGGGGGACGCAUGAGAAGAGAUGACCAGGUUAUUGAAUUCCGAGCUGGGUCCACGGACCCAGCGCAUCAUCAAAUCGAGUGCCAAGAAAAGCCCCAGCGUAUGCUAAGCGACCCGUACCGCAAACCGACACAGGUGGGUGGGUAGAAUAUACCAAGGCGUAAGAGUGAAACCUGGUUAAGGAACUCGGCAAAUUAGCCCCGUAACUUCGGAAGAAGGGGUGCCUGCAGCGAUGCAGGCCGCAGAGAAAUGGCCCAACCGACUGUUUAUCAAAAACACAGCACUCUGCAAAGACGCAAGUCGAAGUAUAGGGUGUGACACGUGACCAAUGCCGAAAGAUUAAGGCAAGGGGUUAGCCGCAAGGCGAAGCUCUGAACCCAAGUCCCGGUGAAUGUCGGCCGUAACUAUAACGGUCCUAAGGUAGCGAAAUUCCUUGUCGGGUAAGUUCCG
rnacentral:rRNA from 1 species